rnacentral:rRNA from 1 species
AAAGAGACUAACAAGGAUUUCCUUAGUAACUGCGAGUGAAGAGGGAAGAGCUCAAAUUUAAAAUCUGGCAGUGUUUUGCUGUCCGAGUUGUAAUCUAGAGAAGUGCUGCCCGUGCUGGACCAUGUACAAGUCUCCUGGAAUGGAGCGUCACAGAGGGUGAGAAUCCCGUCUUUGACAUGGACUACCAGUGCAUUUGUGGUGUGCUCUCAAAGAGUCGAGUUGUUUGGGAAUGCAGCUCUAAAUGGGUGGUAAACUCCAUCUAAAGCUAAAUAUUGGCGAGAGACCGAUAGCGAACAAGUACCGUGAGGGAAAGAUGAAAAGAACUUUGGAAAGAGAGUUAAACAGUAUGUGAAAUUGUUGAAAGGGAAACGCUUAAAGUCAGUCGUGUCGGCCAGGGAUCAACUCAGCUUUCUCUGCUGGGUGUACUUCCUGAUCUGAUGGGCCAACAUCAGUUUUGACUGCUGGAGAAGGGCAGAGGGAAUGUGGCACCUUCGGGUGUGUUAUAGCUCUCUGUCAGAUGCAGUGGUUGGGACUGAGGAAAGCAGCAUGCCGCAAGGCCGGGUCGUUUCGACCACGUUCAUUGCUGAGGAUGUUGGCAUAAUGGCUUUAAUCGACCCGUCUUGA